rnacentral:rRNA from 1 species
CAAGUCGUGGGGCAGCAUGGUGUAGCAAUACACUGAUGGCGACCGGCAAACGGGUGCGGAACACGUACGCAACCUUCCUUUAAGUGGUGAAUAGCUUUCGGAAACGAAAAUUAAUACACCGUAACAUUAUGAAGUGGCAUCAUUUUAUAAUUAUAGCUCCGGCGCUUAAAGAUGGGCGUGCGUCUGAUUAGGUAGUUGGCGGGGUAACGGCCCACCAAGCCUGCGAUCAGUAACUGGUGUGAGAGCACGACCAGUCACACGGGCACUGAGACACGGGCCCGACUCCUACGGGAGGCAGCAGUAAGGAAUAUUGGUCAAUGGACGCAAGUCUGAACCAGCCAUGCCGCGUGGAGGAUGAAGGUCCUCUGGAUUGUAAACUUCUUUUAUUUGGGAAGAAACCCACGAUUUCUAUUGUGGUUGACGGUACCAGAUGAAUAAGCACCGGCUAACUCCGUGCCAGCAGCCGCGGUAAUACGGAGGGUGCAAGCGUUAUCCGGAUUCACUGGGUUUAAAGGGUGCGUAGGCGGGCAGGUAAGUCAGUGGUGAAAUCUCCGGGCUUAACCCGGAAACUGCCGUUGAUACUAUCUGUCUUGAAUAUGGUGGAGGUGAGCGGAAUAUGUCAUGUAGCGGUGAAAUGCUUAGAUAUGACAUAGAACACCCAUUGCGAAGGCAGCUCGCUACACUAUCAUUGACGCUGAGGCACGAAAGCGUGGGGAUCAAACAGGAUUAGAUACCCUGGUAGUCCACGCCCUAAACGAUGAUUACUCGACAUCAGCGAUACACUGUUGGUGUCUGAGCGAAAGCAUUAAGUAAUCC